UACGGAGGAUCCAAGCGUUAUCCGGAUUUAUUGGGUUUAAAGGGUGCGUAGGCGGAUUGAUAAGUUAGAGGUGAAAUGUCCGAGCUCAACUCGGGAACUGCCUCUAAUACUGUUGAUCUAGAGAGUAGAUGCGGUAGGCGGAAUGUAUGGUGUAGCGGUGAAAUGCUUAGAGAUCAUGCAGAACACCGAUUGCGAAGGCAGCUUACCAAUCUAUAUCUGACGUUGAGGCACGAAAGCGUGGGGAGCAAACAGG
rnacentral:rRNA from 1 species